ACUUUUCAGGACAGAAGAACGAAACGGGGACAAAAAUUGAACGUUCAUCCACGAAAAUCUAAAUAAUACGAGAUAAUACUCUCUUGGAGAGCCAUAGGACGCUGAAAUGUUUGCUUCAAAAGGCACUGAAAUCCGUGCCAUUAGAUCCUGUAUCGCCCAAAUAUUGGCUAAACCUCAGGAUCCCGGGGAAAACAACGCACUUUUCGAGGCAGCGGAAGUGGGAAUUGCCUGCAAAGAGACAUCGUCUUUGCUUUGUGGGUUUCGGUAUGUGCAAAGUGAAAUCAGUUCACCGACAAUUUGCUCAUAAUUGACGACAAAUUCUUCAAAGUUUUAUUGCGAAGGUGAUAUAGAAAUGUACCAAAUUGAAAAAAAAAAUUAUCGAAACUUUUCGGGUUCCGAAGAAUCGGGUAGCGAUAAAAAAAACUGGUGCCAAAUCCUUGGAGCUCGCCACAAGAUCCGGAAAAAGUGCGUCUUGGUGCUUACAUGAACGACCUAAAUCAGCUGAAAGAAGAGGCCAACAUGGUUCUGCAAACUUAUUGCCUGGCCCGCCGAUCAAUUUCUAAUUUAACUUGAGUUUUAUAGUGUAAAAACGAAAUUUUAUUUUUUCUUUAAAGAAGUAUUUAUGAAAUAGAUAGGUGUGGAUGAUGAUAGUUAACUUAGAAAAAAGUAUUAUGUAUUUGGAAAUUGAAUAG